GGCGAAGCAAUCUUGUGAAGUGAGGAAAAGUAUAGCAAAGUUAAGUUUUCUUCAAUUUUCGCUCUUUGCUAUACUCCUAUAAUUUUAAGCCCAUACCAAUAUAAUAAUAAUAAGACCCCUCAUAUUCAAGACUGGGGCAUUUUUUUUUUCUAACAAAAAAAAAAUAAAAAAAUAAAAAAAAAAAAUAAAAAAAAAAUAAUAAAAAUAAAAAAAUAAAUAAAAAAAAAUCCUAAUCUUAUUUCGUUUUCAUAGGGCUCCAUCCCCCAGCUGAUAUCUUACUCGUCUUCAUAGGGCACUAUCCCCUAGUCGACAUCCUAAUCGUCUUCAUAGGGCACCACCCCCUAGUUGAUAUCUUACUCG
rnacentral:lncRNA from 1 species